CAAAAGAUAAUUUAUUUAAAAUAUUAACAUUGGAAGUUAGAAAUUGGAUCUAAGAUCUAUCUUUUGA
rnacentral:tRNA from 1 species